rnacentral:piRNA from 1 species
UAGCAAGAUGCUCUAAUCCCCUUCUUGAAGC